ensembl:lncRNA
CGUGGACCCACCGGAAGUUUGCGUUUCCGGGGAGUCUUCCUAACCCAGGGAUUGAACCCAGGUCUCACGCGUUGCAGGCGGAUUAUUUAUCGUCUGAGCCACCAGGGCGGCGUGAGACCUGGUACAAGAUGAUUCAGCUUUGGAUUUCCCUGGUGGCACAGUGGAUAAGAAUCUGCCUGCCAGUGCAAGGCACACCGGUUCUAUCCCUGGUCUGGGAAGAUUCUAUGCAGAGGACCAACUAAGCUCAUGGGCUACAACUACUGAAGCCAGCACACCGCAUCAAGUGUAGCCCCUGCUGGUGGAAACUAGAGAAAGCCUAUCCUAAGCAACAAUGACCCAG